rnacentral:rRNA from 1 species
CCUACGGGAGGCAGCAGUAGGGAAUCUUCCACAAUGGACGCAAGUCCGAUGGAGCAACGCCGCGUGAGUGAAGAAGGCUUUCGGAUCGUAAAACUCUGUUGUUGAAGAAGAACGAAUGUGAGAGUAACUGUUCACGUUGUGACGGUAUUCAACCAGAAAGCCACGGCUAACUACGUGCCAGCAGCCGCGGUAAU